rnacentral:rRNA from 1 species
UACGAAGGGGGCGAGCGUUGUUCGGAUUUACUGGGCGUAAAGGGUGCGUAGGCGGGUUUUUAAGUCAGGGGUGAAAUCCUGGAGCUCAACUCCAGAACUGCCUUUGAUACUGAAAAUCUUGAGUCCGGGAGAGGUGAGUGGAACUGCGAGUGUAGAGGUGAAAUUCGUAGAUAUUCGCAAGAACACCAGUGGCGAAGGCGGCUCACUGGCCCGGUACUGACGCUGAGGCGCGAAAGCGUGGGGAGCAAACGGG